rnacentral:rRNA from 1 species
UACGUAGGGUGCAAGCGUUAAUCGGAAUUACUGGGCGUAAAGCGUGCGCAGGCGGUCUUGCAAGACAGAUGUGAAAUCCCCGGGCUUAACCUGGGAACUGCAUUUGUGACUGCAAGGCUGGAGUGCGGCAGAGGGGGAUGGAAUUCCGCGUGUAGCAGUGAAAUGCGUAGAUAUGCGGAGGAACACCGAUGGCGAAGGCAAUCCCCUGGGAUAACACUGACGCUCAUGCACGAAAGCGUGGGGAGCAAACAGG